rnacentral:lncRNA from 1 species
CAGGAAGCCAGGCUGGGAGUUGGGAAUUGCAGCUGGGGCUUACAGGGACCUCCCCUUUCUCUGGGAACAAGGGGUUGGCGUUGUGCCACCCUGGUGGACAGCUGCUGGGGCCAGUGGAAAAGCAUUGGGCCUGGAUGUAAAAUUGAAGAGAGAAGAGAGAAGAAAGAGAGAAGAGAGAAGAGAGAGAUAAGUUUAAUGCUGAGCACUUACCACGGGCUUUUACUUCACUGUUUCUCAUCACUGGAGUCAACUGACUACAGCUCUUCUCAAAAGUAGGUUUCUGGUUUCCACAGACAAAGAAAAACCCCAAUCACAAGAAACUAA